GCGCCAGUAGCUCAGCUGGAUAGAGCAACGCCCUUCUAAGGCGUGGGUCGGGGGUUCGAAUCCCUCCUGGCGCG
rnacentral:tRNA from 1 species